rnacentral:rRNA from 1 species
ACGGGAGGCAGCAGUGGGGAAUAUUGCACAAUGGGCGAAAGCCUGAUGCAGCGACGCCGCGUGAAGGAUGAAGUAUUUCGGUAUGUAAACUUCUAUCAGCAGGGAAGAAAAUGACGGUACCUGACUAAGAAGCCCCGGCUAACUACGUGCCAGCAGCCGCGGUAAUACGUAGGGGGCAAGCGUUAUCCGGAUUUACUGGGUGUAAAGGGAGCGUAGACGGUAUGGCAAGUCUGAAGUGAAAGCCCGGGGCUCAACCCCGGGACUGCUUUGGAAACUGUCGAACUAGAGUGUCGGAGAGGCAAGUGGAAUUCCUAGUGUAGCGGUGAAAUGCGUAGAUAUUAGGAGGAACACCAGUGGCGAAGGCGGCUUACUGGACGGUAACUGACGUUGAGGCUCGAAAGCGUGGGGAGCAAACAGGAUUAGAUACCCUGGUA